GGAACGCUUGGGUGGCUCAGCAGUUUGGCACCUACCUUCCACCCAGGGUGUGAUCCUUGGGUCCCAGGAUCGGGUCCCACAUCAGGCUCCCUGCAUGGAGCCUGCUUCUCCCUCUGCCUGUGUCUCUGCCUCUCUCUCUGUGUCUCUCAAGAAUAAAUAGAUAAAAUCUUAAAAAAAAAAAAAAAAGGAAACAGGAGGUUGAAGCCUAGUGAACUUUUAUUGGCAGAAUUGUGAGUCUCAUUGGCUGGGCUGUUGUCAGGGGAGGAGAAAAUCCUCCUAGGGUAGUUAAGUAGUAACUAAAAUAGUUGUGUCUCUUCCUGUUGGGGGUGCUAUAGUCAGUGAGUGGUGUGAGAGCUCCCCCUGUUGGCCUCCUGACUCCAUUCUCUCUCUCUCUUUUUUAAUAUUUUAUUUAUUUAUUCAGGAGAGACACAGAGAGAGGCAGAGACACAGGCAGAGGGAGAAGCAGGCUCCACGCAGAAAGCCCGACGUGGGACUCGAUCCAGGGUCUCCAGGAUCAGGCCCUGGGCUGAAGGAUGUACUAAACCGCUGAGCCACCUGGGCUGCCCCCUGACUCCAUUCUCAAGGAGAUUUCUUUGUACUAAUUUUCACAGAAACUUUGUUAUUUAUUUAUUUUUUCCUAUUGUAUUAUGGUAUCAAGUACUAGAUAGGCCUUACUUGUUUUUUUUUUUUUUUAAAGGAUUUUAUUCAUUUACUCAUGAGAGACACAGGGAGAGAGAGAGGCACAGACACAGGCAGAGGGAGAUGCAGGCUCCACAUAGGGAGCCUGAUGUGGGACUCGAUCCCAGGACUCCAGGAUCAUACCCUGGGCCAAAGGCAGGAGCUAAACCCCUGAGCCACCCAGGGACCUCCCGCCUUACUUGUUUUGAAUAUACAUUUUAUCUUUUUUUUUUUAGAUUUUAUUUCUUUAUUUAUGAGAGGCACAGAGAGAGAGGCAGAGACAUAGACGGAGAAGCAGGCUCCCUGUGGGGAGCCUUAAGUGGAACCCAAUCCCAGCACCCUGAGAUCACUACCUGAGCCAAUGGUAGAUGCUCAACCACUGAGCCACUCAGGUGCCCUUAUAUUUUUCUUUUUUAAAUAUUUUAUUUUUAAGUAAUCUCCACACCCAGUGUAGGACUCAAACUUACAACCUCAAGGUCAAGAGUUGCAUACUCUACCAACUCAGCCAACCAGGUGCCCCUACACUUUACCUUUUUUCAUCAAAAAUGUUUUCAUUGGCCUGAAGAGCCUUACUCUGUUUUCUUUGUCAGUAAAUGUUUACCGUAUAUUUGUAAGUAUGCAAAGUUGUUCAUAGAGUAUAGUCUCCUGUAAAUAUUUAAUCUUUUCUCUUUCAGUUGUCUUUUCUUCUUGGGAUUUGAACUACAGAUUGUGAAUUAAGAAUAGAGACCUAUGCAAGGACAAUAAAAUCUAGAGCUAGGAAUGACUCUUCUUGACUAUGUCAGAAUGAGUAAUGUUGGGAACUGUAAUUUUUAGAAUCAUGAUUUUGUGUUAAAAUCCACCAAAGCCUCACACACAUGAAUCUUAGGAUGCAGAAGUGAACUAGGAUUUAGUCAGGUUUUGGAGCCAACUUUGUAGAAGGAGAUAGAAGCAUAGGGCCAUUGCAAACAUGUGCUUCCAACCUGUAUUCCUUAUUCCUUGCACUGCCAAUCAAGUAUAUCCUCCAAACCACCAUUGCCUGUUAGACUUCCAUUUGAUCUGAGCAGUAGGGAUCUGCAGUUGUCUCCACAGUUCAACUUUGAAGAUCCAGUGCAGUUUGGAUUUCCUGCAAGUUGUCAUGCAUUCACCAGGAAACAGAUUUAUACAAUCAUGGUUGAGAAUGUUUUCUGAAGCACUACUCUCCUCUUCUCUCGCUUAUUUUUAGAUAAGGUCUAAUUUGUAUAGUAAAAACUUUGUUCUGUUAAUACCCCUAGUGACUGUGUGUUCCUGAUUCCACUAUGAGAGCUACAUGGUGCAGUCCAAAAGAACUAUGUGAGAGUUUUCUUCUGCACCGUGCAGUAACUGCUGUGACCCAGUCCUUUCCUGUGGGAAUUGACACCUUUCUCAUAUUAGCAGAUUCUGGGUGUUUUGUGUUAUGACUCAUAGCUAAGUGUAAUCCAUCAGUAUUUUUUCAGUUAAGUUGGAUUCUGUGUUAUUAAAAGUAUGUGCAUUUUUUUUCUCUAA
rnacentral:lncRNA from 1 species